rnacentral:rRNA from 1 species
CCUACGGGAGGCAGCAGUAAGGAAUCUUGCGCAAUGGGCGAAAGCCUGACGCAGCGACGCCGCGUGGGCGAUGAAGGCCUUCGGGUUGUAAAGCCCUUUUCUGGGGGACGAGGAAGGACGGUACCCCAGGAAUAAGUCACGGCUAACUACGUGCCAGCAGCCGCGGUAAAACGUAGGUGGCAAGCGUUGUCCGAAGUUACUGGGCGUAAAGCGCGCGUAGGCGGGCUGUUAAGUCAGAUGUGAAAUCUCCGCGGCUCAACCGGGAAAGGGCAUCUGAGACUGGCAGUCUUGAGCUGUGGAGAGGGAAGUGAAAUUCCUGGUGUAGCGGUGAAAUGCGUAGAUAUCAGGAGGAACACCCGUGGCGAAGGCGGCUUCCUGGCCACAAGCUGACGCUGAGGUGCGAAAGCCAGGGGAGCGAACGGGAUUAGAUCCC